CCCUCGCUUCGCUCCCUCUCGGCUUUUUUCGGAGGCUCGGCUCCCCCAUUCGCUGCCGCCCGCCUUUUGACCGUGGAAAUGCCUAUAUAUGGGAUGUGACGGGCGAGCACACUGAGCAAGAUGCAACACGCUCCGCCACCACCACGCACGCUCCUUUAUACAGCGCAGGAAGCACACGGACGUGCACGAGCCCCGAGGAUUUGGUUGCACAAAGAGAAAAUUAAGCAGCCUCUUUGUCUGAGCUCACAACUUGCACCAGAAAAUUCCUCCCCGGUGCCGUCACUGGCUCUGCUGAGCCGAUGUCACCGCGGCGGGAGGGCUUGUGGCUUGCUGUGCUUGCAGGGCAAAGAGGGGCAGCGGUCGGCAAAGCAGGCCGUGGGGCAACUCCUGCGCAGCCCAGCGAGUUACGGCACAGAGCUCCGGCUCCGUGCGACCGGAUAGCAAAGUCCCCUGGGCUCUGCCCGGAGGUCAUCUUCCUCUGCCCCUGAGAACGGCCAGUGUGUGCCUGCAGCGCUGACCCACACAGCAUUCACACAAGCUCACAGCCAGUCUGCAGGACACGUGUGUUGCUAAUGCCAAAGGAGAAGCUUUCCUAUUCCCAUCCCUAAGAUGGUUUCUUCCUGUAUUCCCUUAAAAAACAGACUCCUCACAGUAAAGUAACAGUAAUGACAGAAAAAUAGCAAGUAAGAUCUUUCUAGAGGGUGAAAUUCUCACUUUUCUGCACAGUCCUUAUUCAUCCUUAUCAGUUUAAAAAACAAAUACUGGUUAAACCUGCCUAAAUACUAACAGCAGUGCACAGGCUGAGUAAAAAUGCCAGACAAAGUACUGACAAAGCCUGCAGACUUAUUUGCAGCAAAUUCUUAAGCAUAGUUUUGCUCUUGUCGCUUAUCUUGCUUUUGCUGUAUGGCCAGUUAGCAGACAGGGGCCUUUUUAAGUGCUGUGAAUAUUUAAGAGGCAUUUAGUUACAUAUUGUUCAACAACUUGACUGUAUUGUUAAAUACAUCAAUGUUUUGUACGUAGUUUAGGAGAACUUACUCCACUGCUACAAAAAAUUCCUGUAGAAGUGUAUUGUGGCUGGGAAUCCAGUGAGGCAGCUCUUUGCCUUUGGGUAAGCACAUAUUGUGAAAUUAAACAAACAGUGUCCUGUCUGGCUAAUUUGGGAGUGGUGCUGAUAGGCUCUUAAAGAAUUCCUGUGCAGAGCCAUUUUUCUACAAGAAUGUUAACGAUGACAUGGGAACCUCUGGGAUACAUGGGAAAGUAUGAUAUGGGGGAGAGGAAAGGAACUGAGCGUUUCUUAAAGAGGCGCCUGGAAGAUGCCACUGCCACAGCAAAACAAAAUCCUGAGGCCCCACAUGCAUGAAAAUGCCAAAAAUAAGCUUUGUUUAAGUCAAAGACAACUCUGCAUCCACAGGGCUAAAUUGGCUGAUGUUUUUGUUGUUGUUUUUCUGUGGUAGAGAAUACAAAAAGUAUAGAAACAUAAGCGUGCCUGCUUUACCUUUAAUUAACAAUUUGAAUUGCUUGGAAAUUUCCAGCUGGCAAAAAAAGAUAGGUUUGGAAAUCAAGAGGCUUGUAUAGUCACUCCCUUUUUAAUUGGGACGUGAAGAAAGACGGUAUACAAAUUAAUUUUGUAUACUGAAAAAGAAGUCAGCACAAACCUCGUGUCUCUGACAAAACAUUACUUCCCCCAUGGCCACCCCAGCACUGCAGGAGCUGCCUCAUCUCUCUCGUUGACAAAUGGUGCACAAACACCCCAGCAGCAGUUUUACUCAGUUCUGCACCUCCUACACUGGUUUUGAGUUCUGUUAUUUAAAUCAGGCUCUUCAUAACACCAAGCCAGCCAACGCAAAGAGCUGGCAAGACAUAUUCACAAGCCAUAUAUGCAUACAUCCAUAUAUAUACACUAUAUAUAUAUUCAAUUUCACUACUUCUCCUGUAAGUAAGCA
ensembl:lncRNA